UACGUAUGGGGCAAGCGUUAUCCGGAAUUAUUGGGCGUAAAGAGUGCGUAGGUGGUUACCUAAGCGCAAGGUUUAAUCUUGAGGCUCAACCUCAUUCUGCCUUGCGAACUGGGCUACUUGAGUGCAGGAGGGGAAGCGGAAUUCCCAGUGUAGCGGUGAAAUGCGUAGAUAUUGGGAAGAACACCGGUGGCGAAGGCGGCUUUCUGGACUGUAACUGACACUGAGGCACGAAAGCGUGGGGAGCAAACAGGAUUAGAUACCCCUGUAGUCCCU
rnacentral:rRNA from 1 species